rnacentral:lncRNA from 1 species
UCCAUUCCAAUCAGUUCCGUCAUGCGUGCACCUGUCCAUGUAGGAGUAGGAGUAGUAGUAUGUAUAAAUCUGAAUGGAUAUUCUGACAGGAGCAUGCAUUGCGUUUGGGUUGGACUUGCAGAGGGCGAGCACGAGUUCAGCUACGACCCGCACGCGGAGAACGGGCCGGAUGGCUGGGGCGAGAUCAAGCCGGAGUGGGCGACCUGCAGCGAUGGCCGGUGGCAGUCCCCCAUCGACCUCUACCACCACCGCGCCAUUCGGCGCGACCUCGGUUACCUCAACUACUCCUACAAGCCCGCCGAGGCCUCCAUCGUCAACCGCGGCCACGACAUCAUGGUGCGUCGAUAUCACUACUCCGGCGGGCAGUACUCCAAUGCAACAAGCAAUAUAAUUAAUACGAUACUUUGGUUAUUUGACGGGGCCUGGCUGCUGAUUAUAUUGUCUGUUGUUGCAGGUAAAAUUCAAGGGCGACGCCGGGAGUCUGGUGAUCGACGGCACGGUGUACCACCUGAAGCAGCUGCACUGGCACACGCCCACCGAGCACGCCCUCAACGGCCACAGGUUCUCCAUGGAGCUGCACAUGGUGCACCAGACCCCGGAGAAGAAGACGGCAGUGGUCGGCAUCCUCUACAGGGUCAGCAACCUCGCCGACCCGUUCCUGAAAAGUCUGCAGCCCGCCAUCGAGCGCUUGCGCGGCAAGGAGGAGCCCAUCGGCAAGGUGAACCCCAACCACGUCGGCCUCACGGGCAGCUCGUACUUCCGCUACAUGGGCUCCCUCACCACGCCGCCCUGCACCGAGGGGAUCAUCUGGACCGUCAUCCCCACGGUAUAUAUACGCUUCUUCAUUCUCGAUGCUUCCCGGCCUCUCCUGUUGCCCGAAUGGGUUUCAUUUCAUUGGGUGCUUGGGUUGGCGUCCUCAAGCUUUCAAGUGCUUUGUUUGUGCAGCUUCGCCUCGUGGCCUCGGACCAGCUGGAUCUUCUCAGGGAGGCAGUGGAUGACGUAAGAGUCGAUCUUAACUCCUUUGAUUUCAACACACGCCUGACCAAAAGAUUCAGACGUGGCUAGAAUCUAGAUAGUGAACAGUGUGUGAACGGACACUGGUUUUGCUUUUUUGGUAAGCUUGACCAUGUCUCUUCUUCCUUGUGUGUUACUGUUCUUACCUGCUGCAGGGCUUUGAGAUGAACGCUAGGCCGCUUCAGGAGGUGAACCACAGGACCAUCUGGUUCCGCCCUCAGCCCCACGUAUCUGUGGAGUAAACAUUACUGGUGAUACAUGCAUAUUGGGCUAGCUGAUCAGAUCAGGGACACCGCAUUGCGCAGCUUAUUAUGGCAGGCGAUCUCUUUAUGUAUCUUGUAAUUCUCUCUAUUUUCCCUAAAUAAAGCAUGGCAUCAUCUAUGUCCACAUUAAUUGAUGGCCUUGCAUGCAUGUUUGGAAGAUUAAAGUUUACACGAUGAUCCAUUCUUGAUGUGGGGAGAUCAAAUGAAAAACCCGGGGGGGGGGGGGGGGGGGGGCGGGGUGGUCCGACCUUAAUUCAUCCAUGGAGCUUCUUGCAAGCUCAUGAAACCAUAUACAAGAUUCAGCAAUUUUACAAACAAAGCUCCCACAACACACACAAGAAGGGAGAUACAACGCACACCGAAGAAAACAUCUAUUGUCUAAUCCCUCAACAAAGCUCAAGCACAACGCAUCCCUGAGACAGUACCAUGUAGUUCCUGACUAGCACCACUACCAAGUGGCUACACUUUGAUGAUUCCAUACCACCAGCGACUGUUAAGCUCUGAGUCAAAACGACAGACGACAGAUGUGAUCAAUGGCAUUUGGGGCUGCUUCCAGGAUCCUAACGAUGCCAUUCAACGUCGUCCUUCAAGGGGAGGAAGCUACAAAGGAGGAAGGACCAUCGAGAGGAGAUCGAGGAGAACCAAGAGGGGGUCAUGGUCUCACUAACCCGGCAUAUGAUAAGAUGACAUAACCAAGUGGCUUGGAUAGCGAAGAAGCAUAGGCACCAACAGCAACACAAGAUAGUGUCUAAUAUAUGUGAACACAGCGGAAGCAGUAAGAGGGAGCGAACGUCGACCAGGAGGGAGUAAGUCACGGGGGUAUUGCGAUUGGUGGCAUGAGGGGAUCUUCAAAAGCAAUGCCUUCAAGGGACGACGUCGGACAGAUGCCACCAUUGCUCAACUAGGAGACCGAGAUGAGUUUUCACCCGAAGCUCCCAAAAUGAAAAGGAGCAGGGACGCUACGACGAUACCUCCAAGGAGGGAGAUGAUGUCGGAGGACGUCACCGCCGCCGGCACCGGCAUUGAGCUGGGCAGAGCUUUCGCUCAGCACGCACCAUAUCCAAGCUGCGAAACUCUCACUAGCAUCGUUGAGGCUGACGACACCAGAUGUAGGGAGCAGUAGCGCUGCUUGGAGAGUGGUGUCGACCCUGCCCACCCGUCGUCAGUGCCACCGUACAUGGACGUCGGUGCACCACCGAUCCCCGUUGCACGCCGGCACCAUCACCCAACGGGCAACAAUGGCAACUAGCAGGGAGGGGGCAUGCCGCGCCGCCGCCUGGCCGGAGACAGCCACUGCAGCCUCGACGCCAGAUCCGGGCGAGCCACCCCAUCAGCGUGGGGAUCUGGUAGCCAGCCGCACAGAUCCGGCCAGCACCGGGAGAUCAGUGCGCCGCCACUGCUGCCGCUCCAGAACAGCUACCAGCCAGGAGGGCGUGCUGCCCUGCGAGGAACCGCAAGGACCUUGUCUGACUAGCAGGGUCAUCGGAUCCGGGCAGCAGAGGAGCAGAUCGAGCUGUAGAUGCAACACCACAGCCACAAUCCACCAUGGCUAUUGAGCAGGGUACGGUGGGUCAGAGGAGAAGGAAAAGAGGAAAAAUCACUUGGUCGCCGCCUUCCUCGAGCCCUCGCGGGCUUUCGGCGGAGCUCUCCGGCGACAGCGCGGGGCAGGUAGGGGAGGGGGAUAGCCUGUGGGGUUGCGGCGGCGGUUCCACCCGAGUCGCUCUUGGGGGCGACGCGGUGGAUGGAAGUCCACCCGCAUGUCCCCAAAUUUUGUCCAUUGCCGAGAUCGAUUGGAUUCUCUGAUGAAUGCUAAACUACUCGAAAUAUGAUCACCCAACUAGCACCAUGUCUCCUAAAAUAGAGGAAUGCAGAUCGUUAAGUAGUAAGAACUCACAUCGAUAGCCAACUAGGCACUCAGCGUGGUCCUCAAAAGGUCAGGCAUCGCUAAAGGAGCCCGCGUGGCACACCACUAUAUGUGGAUGUGGAUGGGGGCCUACACCAUUUCCUUCUGCAGUGGAAGUAGGUGGCGUGUAGGCACCCUGUUGGGUCAUUCCUGUGGCACUGACAUCCGUCAGCCCAUGCUCUAUUAGAACUUCGAAGACGCUAAGUCCAAGGAAUCGGAAGAAUUCGUCUACUAAUAAACAGAUUUAGGGCUCGUUUGGUAGGGCUCCGGCUGUAGCUAAAACAGCUUCAGUUGUGAUUCUUUCGGUGGAGCAGUUUUUUUUUACUUUGGCUUGUCUAAUUACAAAAUCAUUUGGCAAAACGAUUUCUUCUGGAGAUUGAAAAUGGGUAAAAAGGGUAAAACGUCUCUGAUGCCCCCUUUUUUCUUUUUUUCUUUUUUUUCUUACUUCUUCUCAUUCUUUCCUUCUCCUCUCUCUCUCUUAUCCGUUCGCCUCUUGUCGCCCCUACCGCCUGCUCCUCAUGGGCCGUCGGUGCCCUCCAACUCCCCACGCCGGUGCCCUCAACCGCGCCUGCUCCAUCCCACUGUCAGCAUCCUCCAAUCGAGCCUCUUCCCCCAAGCCAGCGAUGCCCUUCAACACCGCCGCUCUCGCGCACUAGCACCCUCCAGCCGUGCUUGCUCAUCCUGCUAACGCCGGCGAUGCACUCUGGCCAUGCCUCCUCCCUCACACUGCUAGCGUCCUCCGGGCCCGCCUACUCCCCCGCACCACUGGCACCCUCCAGCCUCGCCACGGAGGGGGCAAACGUGGCACUUUAGCCUUGCGGGUGACAUGGAACCGCGGGGAGCCAAUUUUUAUUAUUUUGGCUCCAUAAAUUUGCUCCAGAGAGUAGGAAUUGCGAGGCUCCUGUGGUGGAGUUGUGUUGCUCAUGCCCCAUUGGCAGGGUUUCACCGGAAACCGCUGAGAAAGCUCUGCCAAAGGGGACCUUAUUAUUAAUGUUUUGAAGGAUGAAUAACUAACGAAUCUUCCAAUCUAAGAUCCAUGGUACAAGAAUAAAUGGCACAUGCCGCACGACCAGUAGCGGCUGGGGGGCACGUUCCACAGACUGCAGCUAGGCCCAUGCGGCAAGGCGUGAGCGCGAGCCCGACUCAGUGCCGCGACGCAGCCAGGCAGGGUGGCAGGGGCAGGGCCCUGCGCGUGUACGUGCAAACGCAGCACUCACCAGUGAUGUACUCCCUCUGUUCCAAAUAGUAGAUCGUUUUGAUUUUUCUAGGUUCAUAAAUAUUAUUAUGCACCUAGAUGUACACUAUAUCUAGAUGCAUAAUAAUAUCAAUGAAUAAAAAGCUAAAAUGACCUACAAUUUGGAACAGAGUAAUGUCGUAAUGAUCAGUUGAGAGUUUAUAAAUCAGAAGGCAAUGAGUUCUUUUGCUCAUGCAGAGUACAGGAAUACGAGUAUUCAUUAGUUUAUUAGGUAAUCGCCUACAUGUCAGCAGGAAUUUUGCUUAGGGGGUGGCCUGAUAUAUAUCAUUACCAUUGAAUGGUCAACACAAAUAGAAGUCAAUAUAUAUGUUGUACAAACUAUUCUAUACUCAUAACUCACGAGUGCACUAAGUAUUGAUAACACAUAUCAUCCCACUAAAAGCAAUUAGUAAAAAUUGUCCUUGGGGUACACGAAAGCAAGCGUUAUAGAAGUAAUCAAGAACAACUAACCUUCUUAUUUUGGUCGCGUCCUAGGUGUCUUUAUAUCAUAGAAGUCAUCUUUUUUUUUUUUGCGAGAUAUAAACGUAGAGGUCAUUAUUCGGUGCUUCGGUGUGAACGAAGCCUAUGACAAUCUCCAACUUCUCGAUGUAGAUUAUCAACGGAGCGAACUCCUUGCGGUUGCCGUGGAAAAACGUGAGGCCAGAGCCAGAGCGCUGAGCGAUGGAGCCAAGUGGAGCCGUCGCGAGGCGUCCGAACAGGAACCUCGAGGGGGACACCGAGGACCAACUGAAGGUCCAGGCAUGUACGCACAAAAUGCCGUGCCGCAUGCUGCCACAUGCCUGCUCUCAUCAUCCCAUAUUCCCAUGGAUCGACCGCAACGGGUCUAUCUUGAUCAGAGACAGUAGAAGCGCGCCCGCGAUGCACGAGGGGAGCGUUCCACACCUCCCCUGUUGCCGCCUGUGCCGUCUGCCACAGCAUAUACCCCGCGCUGCUCCACCCCCCUGGCCCCUCAUCCCAAACCACAUCUAGUUGGCUAGCUCAGCGACCACGGAAUCACACAACAUGGAUCUAGCAGCUCGCCGCCACCUCCACCCCACCGUUGGGGCGCUCCUCGCCGCCGCGCUCCUGCUCUCCGCCAUCGCCGUCCCGGGUGCCACGGCGCAGGACGAAACAGGCCAGUGAUCGAGCCCGAUCGAAUGCAUGUCCAUUCCCAUCACCACCAUGCACCUGUCCAUGUAGGAGUAGUAGUGUACAUCUGAAUAAUAAUCUGACCGGAGGAUGCAUUGCAUUUGGUUGGGCUUGCAGAGGACGAGCAUGAGUUCAGCUACGACCCGGCCGUGGAGAACGGGACGGAUCACUGGGGCGAGGUCAAGCCGGAGUGGGCGACCUGCAGCGAGGGCCGGUGGCAGUCCCCCAUUGCCCUCUACGGCCACCGCGCCAUUCAGCGCGACCUCGGCUACCUCAACUACUCCUACCAGCCCGCCGAGGCCUCCAUCGUCAACCGCGGCCACGAUAUCAUGGU